rnacentral:rRNA from 1 species
AGAUUGAACGCUGGCGGCGUGCUUAACACAUGCAAGUCGAGCGGUAACGCGGGAGCAAUCCUGGCGACGAGCGGCGAACGGGUGAGUAAUGCUUGGGAAUCUGCCCAUUAGUGGGGAACAACCAGCCGAAAGGUUGGCUAAUACCGCAUACGCCCUACGGGGGAAAGCGGGGGAUCGUAAGACCUCGCGCUAAUGGAUGAGCCCAAGUCGGAUUAGCUUGUUGGUAGGGUAACGGCCUACCAAGGCGACAAUCCGUAGCUGGUCUGAGAGGACGACCAGCCACACUGGGACUGAGACACGGCCCAGACUCCUACGGGAGGCAGCAGUGGGGAAUAUUGGACAAUGGGGGCAACCCUGAUCCAGCGACGCCGCGUGUGUGAAGAAGGCCUGCGGGUUGUAAAGCACUUUUAGUGGGGAUGAAAGCUCAGGGUUAACACUCUGGGUCUUGACCUAACCCACAGAAAAGCACCGGCUAACUCUGUGCCAGCAGCCGU